CCAUUGAUCGAAAACUUUGUUGCUCUUGUUGCAGUUCAACCUCUCAAAAAGCUUCUUGCAUGUUCUUUUUUUUAUUCUGACAAAAGCAUGACUGACAAGAGUCGAUGUUUUGUAAGGCGUAGUGAUACUGAGAUAACGAACAGUUCGAUGAACUUGUUGAUGUCUGAGCCCUUCAGAUUUCAAUGUGAAUUCCAUUUGAUUUUU
rnacentral:lncRNA from 1 species